rnacentral:rRNA from 1 species
UACGGGGGGGGGCAAGCGUUUGUUCGGAAUUACUGGGCGUAAAGGGCUCGUAGGCGGCCAACUAAGUCAGACGUGAAAUCCCUCGGCUUAACCGGGGAACUGCGUCUGAUACUGGAUGGCUUGAGAUUGGGAGAGGGAUGCGGAAUUCCAGGUGUAGCGGUGAAAUGCGCAGAUAUCAGGAGGAACACCAAUGGCGAAGGCAGCUCGCUGGGACGUGACUGACGCUGGAGACGCGAAAGCGUGGGGAGCAAACAGG